AUUGAACGCUGGCGGCAUGCUUUACACAUGCAAGUCGGACGAGUGGCGUACGGGUGAGUAAUAUAUCGGAACCUACCCAGUAAAGGGGGAUAACUACUCGAAAGAUUAGCUAAUACCGCAUACUAUUGUAGCGGCCGAUAUCGGAUUGGCUAGUUGGUGGGGUAAAGGCUUACCAAGGCAACGAUCAGUAGCGGGUGUGAGAGGAUGAUCAGCAACACUGGGACUGAGACACGGCCCAGACUCCUACGGGAGGCAGCAGUGGGGAAUUUUGGACAAUGGGCGAAAGCCUGAUCCAGCCAUGCAGCGUGUAUGAAGAAGGCCUUCGGGUUGUAAAGGACUUUUGGCAGGGAAGCGGUACCUGCAGAAUAAGCACCGGCUAACUACGUGCCAGCAGCCGCGGUAAUAC
rnacentral:rRNA from 1 species